AGUACGCUACAUUUGCUAGUAGCACCAUCAUUGCUAUUGUCUGCAACAGCAUGCUGGCAUUCCUCACAACGCGAGUUACUGAUUACCCUCUUAACAAUAUAUCCUGCAAGGUAAUAUAAUACACAGGCAUCUGUUUUGGUUAAGGUAGGUGUUGCUGUUGCAGGUGUUGCUGGGUCUAUCAGUUCCUCCAGCCUCAGACCAGGACUGCAGAUGGUGUCGAACCAGUGGUCUACCUUCUCAAGGAACCAAGAUGUUGUGAGUUCAUGUGUGGAUGUAAGGUCUGGCUCCCCCAACCGACCUUGCAGAGGUCGGCCGUGUAUGGGACCAAGGAUGCAGAGGACAAGAUGGGUGUGCGGUAUGACUGAAAUGAUCAGAAAAGGUCAGAAGAGGCCCUUACACAAAGGUUUUUCUUGAUCCAGCAUCAGCAUCUCCAACACCUCCUGUAGCACUCCAGACUCCAGCCAAAUGUGCUACCUCUUCCUUACAUUAGCCCUCUUGUAGGUGUGCAUAGUGUAUGUAGAGCAUCCUUUCCACAUUGUGUCUUCGGUUGUUCACACACAAUUAUUGUUCAGACUUGGGAAUCUAAAAUGUUUUUCAGAAUGUCUUUGAAAAUCUAAAUGAGUGUCUGCCCUCCUUUUUAUGUUGCAGUCUCACCAUCUCCCUCACAGCCUUUUUUGUGUUUUGUUCCUGUUCUUGUUGUUGAAACACACUUAUUCCACACAUUGCAAAUUUAAUAAACAAAUCUAGUGAAAACCUAAAA